UACGUAGGUGGCAAGCGUUGUCCGGAUUUACUGGGCGUAAAGAGCUCGUAGGCGGUCUGUUACGUCUGCUGUGAAAACCCGGGGCUCAACCCCGGGCCUGCAUUCGAUACGGGCAGACUAGAGUUCGGUAGGGGAGUCUGGAAUUCCUGGUGUAGCGGUGAAAUGCGCAGAUAUCGGGAGGAACACCGGUGGCGAAGGCGGGACUCUGGGCCGAUACUGACGCUGAGGAGCGAAAGCGUGGGGAGCGAACAGG
rnacentral:rRNA from 1 species